AGGCACUUCAGCUGAUUUAAUCCACACAACAAUCUUUAUAGAACUCUGAUGCCAUCUGGGACUCAUGUUGCUUUCAUCUUCCAUCUAUUUUAAAAGGCAGUGGUGAAUUUCUGAAGACUGGAGAGAAAGCUGGUGGAUUCAGGAGGAGAGUAUUUGUGAAAUGCAGCAGAAGAAAUGGAAGUUCAGUGAAAAGCAAAUACAAAGAAAGAAUGAGAACUGAAAUG